rnacentral:rRNA from 1 species
GCCCCUACGGGGGGCAGCAGUGAGGAAUAUUGGUCAAUGGCCGAGAGGCUAAACCAGCCAAGUCGCGUGAGGGAAGGAUGUCCUAUGGAUUGUAAACCUCUUUUGUCAGGGAGCGAAGUCACCCACGUGUGGGUGUUGGAGAGUGCCUGAAGAAAAAGCAUCGGCUAACUCCGUGCCAGCAGCCGCGGUAAUACGGAGGAUGCGAGCGUUAUCCGGAUUUAUUGGGUUUAAAGGGUGCGCAGGCGGAUUUUUAAGUCAGCGGUCAAAUCGUGGGGCUCAACCCCAUCCAGCCGUUGAAACUGGGG